AGGGUGCAUUCCAAGUGCCGUCCCUUGGAAGCCGCAGUUUGGCACGAAGCCCUUUCUCCUGCCGCUACUGUUUUGUUAGUCAGGUUUGCAGCGUGUCUCGAUAUAGUGGUGUGCUUCCGUUGCUAUCCUUUCCCUCCAGGUAGGAAUUCUGUGGCAAACUAGUGGUUGGUUCGCUUAUCAAGUUGCAGUCCUUCAUACCUUGAUUUUGAAUUACUGCAGUCACACCCUUCUUGUCGGCAGUUUUUUUUUUUUUUGUGUGUCCUACCGACUGCACUGACUGCAGAAAGUCGAAGCAAUGGAGGUGUCGUUGCAUUUUCCUCAUAGUUUUGCUAGCUUCUACUUCUGGGUUGAUGUUGAACCCACUCCACCCACUUGUAGCGGAAAGAUGUUAGAAUUUCGUGCCAAGCUGUGUGCAACCAAGGGGUUUGUUACUUCAAAUCCAC
rnacentral:pre_miRNA from 1 species